CUUAUCAAAAAAGCCACAGGGCUUACAGACUGUCAAAAUACUAAAUUCAGAGGACUGGUGUGAUCAGAACAAAAAUGAUAUUAUAGAAUAUUAUUCGACGGAACGAAAAGCAAAAUUAAAAGAUGAUUUCACGGGUCGUGUGAAUGUCCUCCUAGAUCACGUGAUUAGUG